GAUGAACGCUAGCUACAGGCUUAACACAUGCAAGUCGAGGGGCAGCGGGUUGAAAGCUUGCUUUCAAUGCCGGCGACCGGCGCACGGGUGCGUAACGCGUAUCAAACCUGCCUCAUACUCGGGGAUAGCCUUGCGAAAGUAAGAUUAAUACCCGAUGUUGUUGCUUUCUCGCAUGGGAGAGUAACCAAAGAUUUAUCGGUAUGAGAUGGUGAUGCGUCCGAUUAGGUAGUAGGCGGGGUAACGGCCCACCUAGCCUUCGAUCGGUAGGGGUUCUGAGAGGAAGGUCCCCCACACUGGAACUGAGACACGGUCCAGACUCCUACGGGAGGCAGCAGUGAGGAAUAUUGGUCAAUGGGCGAGAGCCUGAACCAGCCAAGUAGCGUGCAGGAUGACGGCCCUCCGGGUUGUAAACUGCUUUUAGUUGGGAAUAAAAAAAGGGACUUGUCCCUUCUUGUAUGUA
rnacentral:rRNA from 2 species